GGCAAGAUGGCCGAGCGGUUAAGGCGUGUGACUCAAGUUGGCGGGAUUAUGCAAUCUCAGACUGGCUUCCCUGAAAUCGGGGUUUCUCAUCACGGUAUCGUGGCGUGGGUUCAAGUCCCACUCUUGUCA